rnacentral:lncRNA from 1 species
CUCAACAUUCGAAAUCAAGUCUCAAUAAAUAGCUUUAAAUACUUUAUUUCAAAUUUCAAGUCUAUACUUGCCACAUCCUGAAUCAGCUUCACUUUGGUCCUGCAAUAACUUUCAAACACCCUGGUGGGUGGUUCGGGGUCAGUCUUUCGUGCUCUAACUUAACAAUCAAUAAUUAAUAAAUGUGUGUAGCCAACACAUUAUACAACUUCAUCUAAUCAUAUAGAGCUAUUUCAUCUCUAGUACUAUUCCACUGUUAUUAAGGUUCUCUAACUUCUACUAAUUUCAUACAUCUAGGGUAUCAUGAAUAGAAAUCAUAUUUACUAACUCAAAACUAACUGGUCUUAACAUCCAUUUGACGGACUACUCUAAUGGCCCAACACUAUCAUAAGAAUCUCCAGUGGCCCAAUAUCUAAUCGUAGGAGUCCCUAAUGGCCCAAUUAUAAGUAUUGGAUCUUUAUUGGUCUGAGACCAUAAGCUGCCAACAUGGAUCAGAGGUCUAUUAAGAGAGGUAUGUAUUACUAGAUCAUCUAUUAAUUGUCUAGACUUAGAGUAGUUCUUAUUGUUCGAUAUCGUCUAGACUUAAAGUAGUUCUUGUUGUUUGCUAGUUAUCUAAUCACAUCAUACUCUAGUUUAAUCAUAUAGGCACGUCAUAUGAGCAUCAUAACUGAACAUAGGAAAAUAAGGACACAUAUAGAUUCAUAAGUACUAACUGAGUAAUCAUAUUACAUAAAGUAGUCAUUUUUAUAUAAUCCUAUCAUAAGUAAGAACUUAACAUGAUAAGUACUUAAUCAUCAACAAGGAAUCAUCAAUAACUAAUCAUCAUCAAGGAAUCGUCAAUAAUCAACAAGGAGUCAUCAACAACUAAUCAUCAUCAAAGAAUCAUCGUGAAAGAUUGAAGCUAAAGUCAAUCAAGUUGUCAUAUCAUAAACAUCAUUCUUGAUGAAGUCAACUUACAUGACUCUGAUUCUUGUAAUAUCAUUAAACUUAUCUAAGGUAUCUUAUUUUUUGUGGGGCAUCCUCCAACUCAACUAACUAACCCACCACCCUAGCGAUAAAAUCAUGGUGGUCUGGGAGUACAUAUCCAUCAGACGGUAUCAUAAAUUAUAGAGGGGAAAUUAUGGCCCGUAAAUCAUAGUGGGUAUAUGCCCGAAUCAUAGGGGCAAUUGUGGCUCAAAUCAUAAAGGACGGUGGUCUAGCUAGUGAGUUUCAUAUUUUAAAUCCACCUAUUACUCAUCUAGGUGAGGUGUUCUUGCUCGCUCAUACUGACUCGUUAUCUAUCCUCAUCCUAAUUCUCACGUUGUAGUUAGUCUAACCUUUUCAUAGUUCUAACAUUAUUGUUAGUCUAGCAUUAUCAUUAUACAAAAGACACAACUUGCAAAACAUCAAAGUAAUAACAUAUAAGACAUAAUUAAACACCUAAUCUUGAAAAUCAUGGCAUCAAAUUAAUUAAAACCUUUACUAACCUACAUCAACGAUUAGAUAUUACCCUCUUAAACCACCCACCUCAUUGGCGAGCCGACGUCUCAGAAAUAUAUCCGAGAUUAUUCCCUUCGAUGCCACGAAACUACGACCUCAGACGGUGCGUCGUUUGGAGUUCAAACAAUUGAGUUAUGUUCCAAUUACUUGAUUGUAACUUGCUGGAACUUGCAGGGGCUAUUCUGUCAUUUUGCUGCCCAACUGGACAAAUGUCCAGUUCAGUCUCCAGACUUCUGAUCCUUGCAGGUUCCAUCCCUAACAAACAGAGAACUACAAUCCAGUCAUCCUAGUUUCUAGGAAGAAUUGUUCAGUCUAAC